UGAACGUCAUGACGCGCCCCGCGAUACUACGGCGUAUCUUGCGUACUACCACCGACGGAGCUUUUGUGGCGGACGCGGUAUUGGCAUUGCAUCGAACGAACAUGUCAGUGCAGUUUUGAAGAGGAGAACUGGACCACAGAGUGCAUUGCGGGAAAACUAGCACAGGCGCACCGCCAGCGAUCCGGCGUCCAGCUCUACAAUGGCGUCCGUAUC